GCAGUCGAGCGGACAGAUGGGAGCUUGCUCCCUGAUGUUAGCGGCGGACGGGUGAGUAACACGUGGGUAACCUGCCUGUAAGACUGGGAUAACUCCGGGAAACCGGGGCUAAUACCGGAUGGUUGUUUGAACCGCAUGGUUCAGACAUAAAAGGUGGCUUCGGCUACCACUUACAGAUGGACCCGCGGCGCAUUAGCUAGUUGGUGAGGUAACGGCUCACCAAGGCGACGAUGCGUAGCCGACCUGAGAGGGUGAUCGGCCACACUGGGACUGAGACACGGCCCAGACUCCUACGGGAGGCAGCAGUAGGGAAUCUUCCGCAAUGGACGAAAGUCUGACGGAGCAACGCCGCGUGAGUGAUGAAGGUUUUCGGAUCGUAAAGCUCUGUUGUUAGGGAAGAACAAGUGCCGUUCAAAUAGGGCGGCACCUUGACGGUACCUAACCAGAAAGCCACGGCUAACUACAUGCCAGCAGCCGCGGUAAUACGUAUGUGGCAAGCGUUGUC
rnacentral:rRNA from 1 species